UACGGGGGGAGCAAGCGUUGUUCGGAUUUACUGGGCGUAAAGGGCGCGUAGGCGGCCACCGCAAGUCGACUGUGAAAUCUCCGGGCUUAACCCGGAAAGGUCAGCCGAUACUGCGGGGCUAGAGUGCAGAAGGGGCAACUGGAAUUCCUGGUGUAGCGGUGAAAUGCGCAGAUAUCAGGAGGAACACCGGUGGCGAAGGCGGUUCUCUGGGCCUUACCUGACACUGAGGAGCGAAAGCGUGGGGAGCGAACAGG
rnacentral:rRNA from 1 species